GGGACACGUGGUAUCCUGUCUGAAUAUGGGGGGACCAUCCUCCAAGGCUAAAUACUCCUGACUGACCGAUAGUGAACCAGUACCGUGAGGGAAAGGCGAAAAGAACCCCGGCGAGGGGAGUGAAAAAGAACCUGAAACCGUGUACGUACAAGCAGUGGGAGCCUCUUAAUGGGGUGACUGCGUACCUUUUGUAUAAUGGGUCAGCGACUUAUAUUCUGUAGCAAGGUUAACCGAAUAGGGGAGCCGAAGGGAAACCGAGUCUUAACUGGGCGUUAAGUUGCAGGGUAUAGACCCGAAACCCGGUGAUCUAGCCAUGGGCAGGUUGAAGGUUGGGUAACACUAACUGGAGGACCGAACCGACUAAUGUUGAAAAAUUAGCGGAUGACUUGUGGCUGGGGGUGAAAGGCCAAUCAAACCGGGAGAUAGCUGGUUCUCCCCGAAAGCUAUUUAGGUAGCGCCUCGUGAAUUCAUCUCCGGGGGUAGAGCACUGUUUCGGCAAGGGGGUCAUCCCGACUUACCAACCCGAUGCAAACUGCGAAUACCGGAGAAUGUUAUCACGGGAGACACACGGCGGGUGCUAACGUCCGUCGUGAAGAGGGAAACAACCCAGACCGCCAGCUAAGGUCCCAAAGUCAUGGUUAAGUGGGAAACGAUGUGGGAAGGCCCAGACAGCCAGGAUGUUGGCUUAGAAGCAGCCAUCAUUUAAAGAAAGCGUAAUAGCUCACUGGUCGAGUCGGCCUGCGCGGAAGAUGUAACGGGGCUAAACCAUGCACCGAAGCUGCGGCAGCGACACUAUGUGUUGUUGGGUAGGGGAGCGUUCUGUAAGCCUGUGAAGGUGGCCUGUGAGGGUUGCUGGAGGUAUCAGAAGUGCGAAUGCUGACAUAAGUAACGAUAAAGCGGGUGAAAAGCCCGCUCGCCGGAAGACCAAGGGUUCCUGUCCAACGUUAAUCGGGGCAGGGUGAGUCGACCCCUAAGGCGAGGCCGAAAGGCGUAGUCGAUGGGAAACAGGUUAAUAUUCCUGUACUUGGUGUUACUGCGAAGAGGGGACGGAGAAGGCUAUGUUGGCCGGGCGACGGUUGUCCCGGUUUAAGCGUGUAGGCUGGUUUUCCAGGCAAAUCCGGAAAACCAAGGCUGAGGCGUGAUGACGAAGCACUACGGUGCUGAAGCGACAAAUGCCCUGCUUCCAGGAAAAGCCUCUAAGCAUCAGGUAACAUCAAAUCGUACCCCAAACCGACACAGGUGGUCAGGUAGAGAAUACCAAGGCGCUUGAGAGAACUCGGGUGAAGGAACUAGGCAAAAUGGUGCCGUAACUUCGGGAGAAGGCACGCUGAUAUGUAGGUGAAGCGACUUGCUCGUGGAGCUGAAAUCAGUCGAAGAUACCAGCUGGCUGCAACUGUUUAUUAAAAACACAGCACUGUGCAAACACGAAAGUGGACGUAUACGGUGUGACGCCUGCCCGGUGCCGGAAGGUUAAUUGAUGGGGUUAGCGGUAACGCGAAGCUCUUGAUCGAAGCCCCGGUAAACGGCGGCCGUAACUAUAACGGUCCUAAGGUAGCGAAAUUCCUUGUCGGGUAAGUUCCGACCUGCACGAAUGGCGUAAUGAUGGCCAGGCUGUCUCCACCCGAGACUCAGUGAAAUUGAACUCGCUGUGAAGAUGCAGUGUACCCGCGGCAAGACGGAAAGACCCCGUGAACCUUUACUAUAGCUUGACACUGAACAUUGAGCCUUGAUGUGUAGGAUAGGUGGGAGGCUUUGAAGUGUGGACGCCAGUCUGCAUGGAGCCGACCUUGAAAUACCACCCUUUAAUGUUUGAUGUUCUAACGUUGGCCCGUAAUCCGGGUUGCGGACAGUGUCUGGUGGGUAGUUUGACUGGGGCGGUCUCCUCCUAAAGAGUAACGGAGGAGCACGAAGGUUGGCUAAUCCUGGUCGGACAUCAGGAGGUUAGUGCAAUGGCAUAAGCCAGCUUGACUGCGAGCGUGACGGCGCGAGCAGGUGCGAAAGCAGGUCAUAGUGAUCCGGUGGUUCUGAAUGGAAGGGCCAUCGCUCAACGGAUAAAAGGUACUCCGGGGAUAACAGGCUGAUACCGCCCAAGAGUUCAUAUCGACGGCGGUGUUUGGCACCUCGAUGUCGGCUCAUCACAUCCUGGGGCUGAAGUAGGUCCCAAGGGUAUGGCUGUUCGCCAUUUAAAGUGGUACGCGAGCUGGGUUUAGAACGUCGUGAGACAGUUCGGUCCCUAUCUGCCGUGGGCGCUGGAGAACUGAGGGGGGCUGCUCCUAGUACGAGAGGACCGGAGUGGACGCAUCACUGGUGUUCGGGUUGUCAUGCCAAUGGCACUGCCCGGUAGCUAAAUGCGGAAGAGAUAAGUGCUGAAAGCAUCUAAGCACGAAACUUGCCCCGAGAUGAGUUCUCCCUGAGACUUAGAGUCUCCUGAAGGAACGUUGAAGACGACGACGUUGAUAGGCCGGGUGUGUAAGCGCAGCGAUGCGUUGAGCUAACCGGUACUAAUGAACCGUGAGGCUUAACCUUACAACGCCGAAG
rnacentral:rRNA from 1 species